ACGCUGAAGCCCAGCUUGCUGGGUGGAUGAGUGGCGAACGGGUGAGUAACACGUGAGUAACCUGCCCCCUUCUUUGGGAUAACGCCCGGAAACGGGUGCUAAUACUGGAUAUUCACUGGCCUUCGCAUGGGGGUUGGUGGAAAGGUUUUUCUGGUGGGGGAUGGGCUCGCGGCCUAUCAGCUUGUUGGUGGGGUGAUGGCCUACCAAGGCUUUGACGGGUAGCCGGCCUGAGAGGGUGACCGGUCACAUUGGGACUGAGAUACGGCCCAGACUCCUACGGGAGGCAGCAGUGGGGAAUAUUGCACAAUGGGCGAAAGCCUGAUGCAGCGACGCCGCGUGAGGGAUGACGGCCUUCGGGUUGUAAACCUCUUUCGCUCAUGGUCAAGCCGCAACACUUGGUUGUGGUGAGGGUAGUGGGUAAAGAAGCGCCGGCUAACUACGUGCCAGCAGCCGCGGUAAUACGUAGGGCGCGAGCGUUGUCCGGAAUUAUUGGGCGUAAAGGGCUUGUAGGCGGUUGGUCGCGUCUGCCGUGAAAUCCUCUGGCUUAACUGGGGGCGUGCGGUGGGUACGGGCUGACUUGAGUGCGGUAGGGGAGACUGGAACUCCUGGUGUAGCGGUGGAAUGCGCAGAUAUCAGGAAGAACACCGGUGGCGAAGGCGGGUCUCUGGGCCGUUACUGACGCUGAGGAGCGAAAGCGUGGGGAGCGAACAGGAUUAGAUACCCUGGUAGUCCACGCUGUAAACGUUGGGCACUAGGUGUGGGGGCCACCCGUGGUUUCUGCGCCGUA
rnacentral:rRNA from 1 species